rnacentral:rRNA from 1 species
GACGAACGCUGGCGGCGUGCUUAACACAUGCAAGUCGAACGGAAAGGCCCUGCUUUUGUGGGGUGCUCGAGUGGCGAACGGGUGAGUAACACGUGAGUAACCUGCCCUUGACUUUGGGAUAACUUCAGGAAACUGGGGCUAAUACCGGAUAGGAGCUCCUGCUGCAUGGUGGGGGUUGGAAAGUUUCGGCGGUUGGGGAUGGACUCGCGGCUUAUCAGCUUGCUGGUGGGGUAGUGGCUUACCAAGGCUUUGACGGGUAGCCGGCCUGAGAGGGUGACCGGCGACAUUGGGACUGAGAUACGGCCCAGACUCCUACGGGAGGCAACAGUGGGGAAUAUUGCACAAUGGGCGGAAGCCUGAUGCAGCAGCGCCGCGUGCGGGAUGACGGCCUUCGGGUUGUAAACCGCUUUCGCCUGUGACGAAGCGUGAGUGACGGUAAUGGGUAAAGAAGCACCGGCUAACUACGUG